rnacentral:pre_miRNA from 1 species
UUUAAUUGCAGUUGUGGGUUUUAGUGUUUAAUGUUUGUCCGUCUUAUUUAAAUUAUUUUAUAAUUACUAUUUAUAUUGUUAUUAGAUGAUAAAAUAUGAAUAUUACUCAUGCAUGAAUCAAGUUUUUGAUUUUUUUUUAUAAUUUCUUUAAAUAAGACAGACGGUUAAACGUUUGGUACAGAAACCCACGACUGUACUAAAA